rnacentral:rRNA from 1 species
GGUAUACUUUAGGAGGGGCUUGCGCCAUAUUAGUUAGUUGGUAGGUAAUGGCCUACCAAGACGAUGAUGUGUAGCUGGACUGAGAGGUUGAACAGCCACAUUGGGACUGAGACACGGCCCAAACUCCUACGGGAGGCAGCAGUAAGGAAUUUUCGGCAAUGGAGGAAACUCUGACCGAGCAACGCCGCGUGAACGACGAAGUACUUUGGUAUGUAAAGUUCUUUUAUCAAGGAAGAAAAGCAAGUGGCGAACCAUUUGUUUGCCGGUACUUGAUGAAUAAGCCCCGGCUAAUUAUGUGCCAGCAGCCGCGGUAAGACAUAAGGGGCAAGUGUUAUCCGGAAUUAUUGGGCGUAAAGGGUGCGUAGGCGGUCUAGUAAGUCAGUGGUGUAAUGGCAACGCUCAACGUUGUCCGGCUAUUGAAACUGCUAAACUUGAGUUAGAUAGAGGCGAGUGGAAUUCCAUGUGUAGCGGUAAAAUGCGUAAAUAUAUGGAGGAACACCAGAGGCGUAGGCGGCUCGCUGGGUCUUAACUGACGCUGAGGCACGAAAGCGUGGGGAGCAAACAGGAUUAGAUACCCUGGUAGUCCACGCCGUAAACGAUGAGUACUAAGUGUCGGGUUAAACCGGUACUGAAGUUAACACAUUAAGUACUCCGCCUGAGUAGUACGUACGCAAGUAUGAAACUUAAAGGAAUUGACGGGACUCCGCACAAGCGGUGGAUCAUGUUGUUUAAUUCGAAGAUACCCGAAAAACCUUACCAGGUCUUGACAUGUUUUUGCGAAACGGUAGUAAUAUCGUAGAGGUUAUCAGAAACACAGGUGGUGCAUGGUUGUCGUCAGCUCGUGUCGUGAGAUGUUAGGUUAAGUCCUAAAACGAGCGAAACCCUUAUCGUUAGUUGCCAGCACGUUAUGGUGGGGACUUUAACGAGACUGCCAGUGAUAAACUGGAGGAAGGUGAGGAUCACGUCAAAUCAGCAUGCCCCUUAUGACCUGGGCUACAAACGUGAUACAAUGGCUGUUACAAAGGGUAGCUGAAACGUAAGUUCUUGGCCAAUCCCCAAAAACAGUCUCAGUCCGGAUUGAAGUCUGCAACUCGACUUCAUGAAGUUGGAAUCGCUAGUAAUCGCGAAUCAGCAUGUCGCGGUGAAUACGUUCUCGGGGUUUGUACACACCGCCCGUCAAACCACGAAAGUUGGCAAUACCCCAAAA